rnacentral:rRNA from 1 species
CCUACGGGAGGCAGCAGUGGGGAAUAUUGCACAAUGGGGGAAACCCUGAUGCAGCGACGCCGCGUGAGUGAAGAAGCGUUUCGGCGCGUAAAGCCCUUUCAGCGGGGAAGAAACACGGUUCGCGAGAGCCGCUGCCGGUACCCGCCCAAGAAGCACCGGCUAACUACGCGCCACCAGCCGCGGUAAUACGUAGGGGGCAAGCGUGAUCCGGAUUAACUGGGGGGUAAGGGAGCGGAGACGGCGAGACAAGUCUGGAGUGAAAGGCCGGGGCCCAACCCCGGGGCUGCUCUGGAAACUGCCUCGCUUGAGUACAGGAGAGGUAAGUGGAAUUCCUAGUGUAGCGGUGAAAUGCGUAGAUAUUAGGAGGAACACCAGUGGCGAAGGCGGCUUACUGGACUGUAACUGACGUUGAGGCUCGAAAGCGUGGGGAGCAAACAGGAUUAGAUACCCUUGUAGUC